UACAGAGGGUGCGAGCGUUGUCCGGAAUCACUGGGCGUAAAGGGCGCUUAGGCGGCGCGGUAAGCGUGCGGUGAAAGCCCGGGGCUCAACCCCGGGUCGGCCGUGCGGACUGCCGGGCUGGAGCACUGUAGAGGCAGGUGGAAUUCCGGGUGUAGCGGUGGAAUGCGUAGAGAUCCGGAGGAACACCAGUGGCGAAGGCGACACGCUGGGUCAUACCUGACGCUAAAACGCGACAGCAUGGGGAGCGAACGGG
rnacentral:rRNA from 1 species